rnacentral:tRNA from 1 species
UAGCUCAGUUGGUAGAGCAGAGGACUGAAAAUCCUCGUGUCACCGGUUCAAAUCCGGU